rnacentral:rRNA from 1 species
UAUUAUAUAAUAAUUUUUAUCUAAUUAUAAUAUAAAAAAUUACUCCAGAGUUAACAGAAAAUCAUAUUUAAUCCAGAUGUUAUGGUAAAAUAAGUUUUACAUCGAUGUUGUAUUUAAGUUAAUUAAAAAAGGAGAAGUUUUAAUUAUUUAGACUGUUCUUCUAUUAUUUAAUUUAACGUGAUAUAGUUUAAUUC